rnacentral:snRNA from 1 species
GGAUGUAAGGGCAAUCUGGCCGCAACAUCUGUCACCCCACUGACUGCCAGGGUUGAUUGGGCUGAUCUGGCUGGCUAGCCGGGUGUCCCCUUCCUCCCUCACUGUUCUGUGUGCGUCCCUCCCGAAGCUGCAUGCUAGGUUGAAGAGGACGACCAUUCUCAAUAAAGGAGGACCAUUCUUCAGCCAAGUGUAUACAAGUAGUUGCGCUCCCCUGCUAGAACCUCCAAACAAGCUCUCAAGAGGACUGUGGUAUGAGAACAGCCCUAGCAAAAAGUUAGUGAGACCACCAUCUCAACAAAUAGGCUGUAUGUGGUGGCAAAUGCUUAU